CGACCGGGGCACAGAGCGAACCCAAGACGAACCCGUAGUCCUUAGCCUUCACAUUCCAGUUCUUCCCAAGUUAACGGGAAGUAAAAGUCUGUGAGAACAACACAGUGUUCCUAAUAAUGUGGAUUUAGCAGUCGGUGUUGCAAGAUACUUUUUACGUGUGUCUCCUUAGCGGUGGUGUGUUUAUUCUUGUCUUAAGAAAAGUGUAAUAAAGCCAAUUUGAGAAUUA